rnacentral:rRNA from 1 species
GACGAACGCUGGCGGCGUGCCUAAUACAUGCAAGUAGAACGCACAGUUUAUACCGUAGCUUGCUACACCAUAGACUGUGAGUUGCGAACGGGUGAGUAACGCGUAGGUAACCUGCCUGGUAGCGGGGGAUAACUAUUGGAAACGAUAGCUAAUACCGCAUAAUAUUAAUUAUUGCAUGAUAAUUAAUUGAAAGGUGCAAUUGCACCACUACCAGAUGGACCUGCGUUGUAUUAGCUAGUAGGUGAGGUAACGGCUCACCUAGGCGACGAUACAUAGCCGACCUGAGAGGGUGAUCGGCCACACUGGGAAUGAGACACGGCCCAGACUCCUAAGGGAGGCAGCAGUAGGGAAUCUUCGGCAAUGGACGAAAGGCUGACCGAGCAACGCCGCGUGAGUGAAGAAGGUUUUCGGAUCGUAAAGCUCUGUUGUAAGAGAAGAACGGGUGUGAGAGUGGAAAGUUCACACUGUGACGGUAUCUUACCAGAAAGGGACGGCUAACUACGUG